rnacentral:rRNA from 1 species
GAUGAAUGCUGGCGGCGUGCCUAAUACAUGCAAGUCGAGCGAACAGACGAGGAGCUUGCUCCUCUGACGUUAUCGGCGGACGGGUGAGUAACACGUGGAUAACCUACCUAUAAGACUUGGAUAACUUCGGGAAACCGGAGCUAAUACCGGAUAAUAUAUUGAACCGCAUGGUUCAAUAGUGAAAGACGGUUUUGCUGUCACUUAUAGAUGGAUCCGCGCCGCAUUAGCUAGUUGGUAAGGUAACGGCUUACCAAGGCAACGAUGCGUAGCCGACCUGAGAGGGUGAUCGGCCACACUGGAACUGAGACACGGUCCAGACUCCUACGGGAGGCAGCAGUAGGGAAUCUUCCGCAAUGGGCGAAAGCUUGACGGAGCAACGCCGCGUGAGUGAUGAAGGUCUUAGGAUCGUAAAACUCUGUUAUUAGGGAAGAACAAAUGUGUAAGUAACUAUGCACGUCUUGACGGCACCUAAUCAGAAAGCCACGGCUAACUACGUG